rnacentral:rRNA from 1 species
AUUAGCUUGCUAAUCCGCUGACGAGUGGCGCACGGGUGCGUAACGCGUAUACAAUCUGCCUUUAAGCGGGGAAUAGCCCAUGGAAACGUGGAUUAAUACCCCAUAGUAUGUAGACUUCACCUGGAGACUACAUUAAACAUUUAUGGCUUAAAGAUGAGUAUGCGUCCUAUUAGUUAGUUGGUAAGGUAACGGCUUACCAAGACGGCGAUAGGUAGGGGUCCUGAGAGGGAGAUCCCCCACACUGGUACUGAGACACGGACCAGACUCCUACGGGAGGCAGCAGUGAGGAAUAUUGGACAAUGGAGGCAACUCUGAUCCAGCCAUGCCGCGUGCAGGAAGACGGCCCUAUGGGUUGUAAACUGCUUUUAUACGGGAAGAACCACAUCUACGUGUAGAUGCUUGACGGUACCGUAUGAAUAAGGACCGGCUAACUCCGUGCCAGCAGCCGCGGUAAUACGGAGGGUCCAAGCGUUAUCCGGAAUCAUUGGGUUUAAAGGGUCCGUAGGCGGGAUAAUAAGUCAGUGGUGAAAGUCUGCAGCUCAACUGUAGAAUUGCCAUUGAUACUGUUGUUCUUGAAUUAUUAUGAAGUGGUUGGAAUGAGUAGUGUAGCGGUGAAAUGCAUAGAUAUUACUCAGAACACCUAUUGCGAAGGCAGAUCACUAAUAAUAUAUUGACGCUGAGGGACGAAAGCGUAGGUAGCGAACAGGAUUAGAUACCCUGGUAGUCUACGCCGUAAACGAUGGUUACUAGCUGUUCGGCUCGAUUGAGAGCUGAGUGGUUAAGCGAAAGUGAUAAGUAACCCACCUGGGGAGUACGUUCGCAAGAAUGAAACUCAAAGGAAUUGACGGGGGCCCGCACAAGCGGUGGAGCAU